rnacentral:rRNA from 1 species
GACGAACGCUGGCGGCGUGCUUAACACAUGCAAGUCGAACGGAAAGGCCCUGCUUUUGUGCGGUGCUCGAGUGGCGAACGGGUGAGUAACCCGUGAGUAACCUGCCCUUGACUUUGGGAUAACUUCAGGACACUUGGGCUAAUACCGGCUAGGAGCUCUUGCUGCAUGGUGGGGGUUGGUAAGUUUCGGCGGUUGGGGAUGGACUCGCGGCUUAUCAGCUUGUUGGUGGGGUAGUGGCUUACCAAGGCUUUGCCGGGUAGCCUGCCUGAGCGGGUGACCGGCCACACUGGGAUGGGGAUACGACCCAGACUCGUACGGGAGGCAGGGGUGGGGUAGAGAGCACUAUGGGCGGAAGCCUGAUGCAGCAACGCCGCGUGGGGGAUGACGGGCUGCGGGUUGUAAUCCGCUUCCGCCUGUGACGAAGCGUUAGUGACGGUAAUGGGUAAAGAAGCACCGGCUAACUACGUG